rnacentral:misc_RNA from 1 species
AAGAGUUGCAAAACUCCAACCAUUGUUAACCUUACUGUUAUUCGUUUCCUCGGCGGAUCAGCCCGCUCCCGGUAAAACGGGACGGCCCGCCAGAGGACCCCUAAACUCUGUUUCUAUAUGUAACUUCUGAGUAAAACCAUAAAUAAAUCA